rnacentral:misc_RNA from 1 species
GCUAUCCUUUUUCUUUCUUCACCAAAUUCAAACUCUUUCUCUCUCGUCUUUGAGUUUUCGCCAGUAAAUUCUGAAGCCCAAUUGCGAAGGACACGAUCGAAUUUGGGAAUGGCAGCGAAACAAAUGGAAGAAAUACAGAAGAAAUUGGCUACAUUGAAUUACCCAAGAGCCAAUGCUCCUGCUCAGUCCCUUCUCUUUGCCGGCAUGGAGCGAUACGCUCUUCUUGAAUGGCUUUUCUUCAAGUUAUUAGGGGAUAAGUCGCCAUUUUCUCAGCAAAAUCUACAAGGGGAUGCUGUGGAUCGCG